CCAAGCUUCCAUAAUAGAAGAAACCACAAAAAGAAAGAACUACCAAAGGUUGAAGCAAGAGUCAUAGAGAAAAGGAAAUUCUAAUUGAAAUUCUUUGUGAGAAACAAAAGGAUAAACUGGAAAAAUAAAACAACUUCACUUAACAACUAGAAAACAUUAAAGUAGAAUAAACGGGAGAAAACAUUAAAGUAGAAUAAACUGGAAAAAUAAAGCAACUUCACUUAACAACUAAACUAGAGAGGAUGCUGAUGCUGAGGUCCAGAUUUACGCCUAGAGCAAAGGUCCCAGCAGAAUGUUCUCACUUUUCCUGCUGCAUAGCCCACUUUUCCUGCUGCAUAGCCCACGUUUUCUGAUAUAUAGCCCACUGUAUUGCUACAAAAUUCCUUUGUUUUGUUCCACCUAGUUUUUUCUCUAUUGUCUGGAACCAACACAGAGUCACCUUGAAAAUUUCUUUUUAAAGUUGUAAACAUUUCGCAUAGCUGAGAAUACCAUUCAUUCCUUUUAAAAAAGAGUAUUGCAAGGAAGGCAAACAGCCAGAUUAGCACAAUCAAAGAAGACUCACACACGAUUUGGGCUGUUUUAGUUGCUAAUAUUGCAUUAAACACCAAAGUAAUUAGAUAUUGUAUAAUCCAUGUGUUUGUCUUAUCUAGAAAAAGCUACUGUUGCAAUGAAGCAUCCCAUGUCAAACGAGAGUCCCCUUGCAAUCUUGAAUCUUUUUUUUUCAUUUACAUGCAAUGAAGCUUUUUCUAGUAGCACUGUUUCUUUUUCUAGAUAAGACAAACACAUGGAUUAUACAAUAUCUAAUUACUUUGGUGUUUAAUGCAAUAUUAGCAACUAAAACAGCCCAAAUCGUGUAUGAGUCUUCUUUGAUUGUGCUAAUCUGGCUGUUUGCCUUCCUUGCAAUACUCUUUUUUAAAAGGAAUGAAUGGUAUUCUCAGCUAUGCGAAAUGUUUACCACUUUAAAAAUUGCAAGGGGACUCUCGUUUGACAUGGUGAAGAAAGAAGGAAAGGAGAUUGGAAAAAGCAGGCAACGCAACUGUUAUUGGGAUGGGAGAGGAGUGUAGUAUUUAAAAGAAACAAAAUAGAAUAAGACAAAUUAAUAUUGUUGCUUGAUUUUGCUGUGUGCUGGGUGGAAUGAGAGGAGAGGAUGAGUGAUGAGAGAGAAUAAAUCGUAGCGUGUGUUUCUGUUUCUGGGUGGGAUGAGAGGAGAGGAUGAGUGAUGAGUGAUGAGAGAGAAUAAAUCGCAGGCCCAACGUCU
rnacentral:lncRNA from 1 species